rnacentral:rRNA from 1 species
CAAUAGCGUAUAUUAAAGUUGUUGCGGUUAAAAAGCUCGUAGUUGGAUUUCUGCUGAGAACGACCGGUCCGCCCUCUGGGUGUGUAUCUGGCUCUUUCUUGGCAUCUUCUUGGUGAACGUUGCUGCACUUGACUGUGUGGAGCGCUACCCAGGACUUUUACUUUGAGGAAAUUAGAGUGUUUCAAGCAGGCAUACGCCUUGAAAACAUUAGCAUGGAAUAAUAAGAUAGGACCUCGGUUCUAUUUUGUUGGUUUCUAGAGCUGAGGUAAUGAUUAAUAGGGAUAGUUGGGGGCAUUCGUAUUUAACUGCCAGAGGUGAAAUUCUUGGAUUUGUUAAAGACGGACUACUGCGAAAGCAUUUGCCAAGGAUGUUUUCAUUGA